GACGAACCGUGCGAACGUUAUUCGGAAUCACUGGGCUUAAAGAGCGCGCAGGCGGUCGUUCAAGUCGCGUGUGAAAGCCCCCGGCUCAACUGGGGAGGGUCACGCGAUACUGAUCGACUCGAAGGCAGGAGAGGGUAGUGGAAUUCCCGGUGUAGUGGUGAAAUGCGUAGAUAUCGGGAGGAACACCAGUGGCGAAGGCGACUACCUGGCCUGUUCUUGACGCUGAGGCGCGAAAGCUAGGGGAGCAAACGGG
rnacentral:rRNA from 1 species